ensembl:lncRNA
AUGUCACGAACCUCAGUUCAUAGUUCAUCAGGCACUCUAUCAGAUCUAGGCCCUUAAAUCUAUUUCUCACUUCCACUGUAUAAUCGUAAAGGAUUUGAUUUAGGUAAUACCUGAAUGGUCUAGUGGUUUUCCCUACUUUCUUCAAUUUAAGUCUGAAUUUGGCAAUAAGGAGUUCAUGGUCUGAGCCACAGUCAGCUUCUGGUCUUGUUUUUGCUGACUAUAUAGUGCUUCUCCUUCUUUGGCUGCAAAGAAUAUAAUCAAUCUGAUUUUGGUGUUGACCAUCUGGCGAUGUCCAUGUGUAGAGUCUUCUCUUGUGUUGUUGGAAGAGGGUGUUUGUUAUGACCAGUGCGUUCUCUUGGCAAAACUCUAUUAGCCUUUGCCCUGCUUCAUUCCAUAUUCCAAGGCCAAAUUUGCCUGUUACUCCAGGUGUUUCUUUGGAGAAGGCAAUGGCACCCCACUCCAGUACUCUUGCCUGGAAAAUCCCAUGGAUGGAGGAGCCUGGAAGGCUGCAGUCCAUGGGGUCGCUAAGAGUCGGAAACGACUGAGCAACUUCACUUUCACUUUUCCCUUUCAUGCAUUGGAGAAGGAAAUGGCAACCCACUCCAGUGUUCUUGCCUGGAGAAUCCCAGGGACAGGGGAGCCUGGUGGGCUGCCGUCUAUGGGGUCGCACAGAGUCGGACACGACUGAAGCGACUUAGCAGCAGCAGCAGCAGCCCCUCUAAUGAAAAGGACAUCUUUUUUGGAUGUUAGUUCUAAAAGGUCUUGUAGGUCUUCAUAGAACCGUUCAACUUCAGCUUCUUCAGCAUUACUGGUUGGGGCAUAGACUUGGAUUACUGUGAUAUUGAAUGGUUUGCCUUGGAAACGAACAGAGAUCAUUCUGUCGUUUUUGAGAUUGCAUCCAAGUACUUAGAAAAGAAGGGCUUAGGAAUUUGUAAUUUACAAGAGGCCUGAGUGAACUAUAUGAGGCAAAGGUGGGACCCACUGAAGUAGAUGUGGCAUGUUGCAAGAUCAGCAGACCCAGGUCUGAGUCCUAGACCUACACACCUACAGACCAGGUGUGCACAACGUGUAGGGCACACACAGUAAGCCCCCGUAUAUGGGAACUGUUAUCAUUGUUAUGUCAUUUAACAAAUACUUAUUAAGCACCUACUAUGUGUCAGGAGCUCUCCUAGACUUCUGCUUGUGUGGAGUCCACAUUCUAGUGGGUGGAGACAGAUAAAUAAUGAACAUGAUAUGUGUUUAAUAAACAGUCAACACACUGCAUGGAUUUGAUGCUUAAACAGUAAAGACAAUAAAUGUGAUAUGAUAAUUAGUUAAAUGGUAAACACAACAGCUGCUUAUUAUUUAAAUAAUAUAGUAUGUUAGCAUUAAUUCAAAUACAUAAAGAUGGGAUAGCAGAAGAUGCAGAGGUAGGGAAUGAAGAGAGCAAUUUUGGACUUCAAUCCGGACAGGAAAAUGAUCUUGAGCACUGAUCCUUCAUGAUGUUCAGUGGUGCUGGGGCACUUUUCAUUUGUAAAGUGGGCUCCUCUGUCACCUCCUACAGGAAGCCUUUCUAGAACCCCAGACCCUCUUUCCUUUGAAUUCUGUGGCUGUAUUGAACGCUGCCUUUGCUGAAAGCACACCUUGUUCUCAUCCUAGCUGAUGCUGUCUGUAGGUUGACGAAAGCUAAGACAUGUGAACGGUGUUUAUCCAACACUGCGUGUAAUCUUUGCAGUAACCCCGUGAGGUCACUUCUCAUGCCACUUUACCAUGGAGAAAAUGGAAGCUUCUUACACCUUGCUCAGGUCGCACAGCUGGAAAGCACAAGAGCCUGGGCUUCAGUUUCCGUCUGUGUAACAGGCCAAUUGACUUGGAGCUGCCUUCCCUUCCGGCCGAGACUGGCUGCAAUGUUGAAGAGAACCACAUGAGGGCGCCAAAACCACACUGGUGACAUCCUGCCUCCCAGUCAGCAUGGUCCCUUCAAAAUUGUCCUCCAAAGCCAGAGAUUAUACUAGUAACGGCAGGCUGGGACGCUCCCACUCAGGAGGGAGCAAGAGACAAGGAACCGGCUCACACACUGUCCUAGAAAAACCCCCACCCCUACCCCAGUCUUCCCCGAGCUGCUGCACCAGCCAAGGAUGAAGCCCUCAGAGGCCCAGAGACCUCGCCAUCUCCUACUAUGCAGGCUGUGCUACACUGUGACCCCCCCACCUGUUACCUCUGCUGGGAGUACCAGGCUUUCAGGCUCCCGACUCAUCCUCCAAGGCACAACUUUCCUGACCGCUGCAAACAGACUCAAUCCCCCCUCAUCUGCCCCCACCCCUGGCCCGCCUCUAUUGCAUCACGUGGAGUUGCCUGUUUUCCUCCACACUGGAAACUUCCUGAGGGCAGGGCUUGGGCUCUGUUCUCCUCUGUAGCCACUAGGCUCAAGGACUCAACAAAUGUUUGCUGAACAAAUUAAUUUGUUUUCACUUAACGAGCUCAUUAGGGCUCUAGCUUCCUCCUAAUUACGAAGCAGGAAGUUUCCUUUUUUUCCAUAACGAUCCAUCUUUGGGGAAUGAUGGCAGAACUUCAACUUCGGCAAGAAGAAGGCAAUCAAACUAGACCCCUGGCACACGUUUGCAUUUGAAAGAAAGAAAACAUGCAGGCUCAGUGAGGUACAGUUUAAACAAAACACGUGUAUAUUAAAAGCUUCACAUUAAAUAUACAUUAUCAUACAGUUCAUCACACAGAAUUAGAUCUUUACAGGACACUUUCAGCAGGAGGGGGUGGUCACAAGGCUCCUGGCAGUGACACAACAGCCCCGAGGAGAAGGGGAGAGACUGGGGGCUGUCCAUGCCCAGGGGGUGCCUGAGUGUGUCUCUGUGGGGUUCUGGAAGGUUCUCCUGCAUCUGGGCUCUGGGUUGUGCUCGUUCCAUUGGACAACUUGCCCCAUUUGUCUCUGUCAGUAAUCGCUGGUGGAAGGUAAAAGACGUGGCAGCUUGCCGGAUGAUCAUCUGAUCCCGCCAGGACCCUUCACGGGCAUCGAUGGGCCGCUCUAAUCGCCAGCCUGCCCUCUCUGCCCGUUUCUGCAGGCACUGUCCUUGGGGUCUGUGAGAGCACAUGGGAAGCCUGGCUGUCUGUCCCUGCUGGGCCCUUGAUCAAGUGACAUCAACUGCUGCCCUGAGCGUGUAUUGGAGAGCUGAUCAGAGCUCGGUGUUCUGAAUCUUAAAAAGGCAAUCUCCGGGGCCUGUGACUGCAGAAGCAGAGCAUCCACCAAGGGCUCCACCUGUUGUUCCCAGGGCCCUGCUGGAAGUUACGUCAAGAUGGCCCUCUGCCUGCCCACCAGAGCUGCUCUGGGAGGGGAGGCACAGCUCAGCUGGGAUUGGCCCAGCCUUCAGAAGAGGGGCCUUUUCACCUCUUUCUUUAGAAGCGCUGCUCUGUGAGCCUGUAUCCUGACAGGCAGGUGGGCCCUCUCUCCCCACAAAGCCUCCUUUCUUUCUGGGCCGCCAUCUUGUUCUGGAGGGGCUGCCCAAAAGGCCUUGACUCCUUGGUGCUCAAGGACAUUACUGCUGAAGUGGUUGGGGCAUUAUGGUCAAUAAUGAAGCCAGCAAUGGAGGGAAAGAAAAGGGAAAAAAACCCCAACAGUCCUGUGGCUCUGAGCAACGCAGCCUGUUAGGGGUUGGAGGCUGUGCUCUGAGACAAAAUGCUGAGGCGGGAUAUUGUGUGGCAGGGAGCUUUUUUUUCCCUCUAAGAAAUCCAGCUCAUUUUCCCCCUCAUUAAUUGGCAGCAGAUGAAAAAAAAAAAAAAAAGCCAAAACAAAACCCAAACCAACGCCAAUAACCUGAAUGUGAGUGUUUCUGAAAGGGAAAAGCUGUUUCAAUUGUUAGAUGUCCAAGAAAACAUGAAUACACGCCGCCAGAGGAAAUGGUCACAAUUAGAG